GGUUACUGCUAUCGGUGUUCGCCUAAGCCAUGCGAGUCAUAUGUUCGUAAGAACAUGGCGUACUGCUCAGUAACACGUGGAUAACCUGCCCUUGGGUCCGGCAUAACCCCGGGAAACUGGGGAUAAUUCCGGAUAACGCACAUAUGCUGGAAUGCUUUUUGCGUAAAAUGGAUUCGUCUGCCCAAGGAUGGGUCUGCGGCCUAUCAGGUAGUAGUGGGUGUAAUGUACCUACUAGCCUACGACGGGUACGGGUUGUGAGAGCAAGAGCCCGGAGAUGGAUUCUGAGACAUGAAUCCAGGCCCUACGGGGCGCAGCAGGCGCGAAAACUUUACAAUGCGGGAAACCGUGAUAAGGGGACACCGAGUGCCAGCAUCCUAUGCUGGCUGUCCGGGUGUGUAAAAUACACCUGUUAGCAAGGGCCGGGCAAGACCGGUGCCAGCCGCCGCGGUAACACCGGCGGCCCGAGUGGUGAUCGUGAUUAUUGGGUCUAAAGGGUCCGUAGCCGGUUUGGUCAGUCCUCCGGGAAAUCUGACAGCUCAACUGUUAGGCUAUCGGAGGAUACUGCCAGACUUGGAACCGGGAGAGGUAAGAGGUACUACAGGGGUAGGAGUGAAAUCUUGUAAUCCCUGUGGGACCACCUGUGGCGAAGGCGUCUUACCAGAACGGGUUCGACGGUGAGGGACGAAAGCUGGGGGCACGAACCGGAUUAGAUACCCGGGUAGUCCCAGCCGUAA
rnacentral:rRNA from 1 species